GCUGAAGAGAGGAGCUUGCUCUUCUUGGAUGAGUUGCGAACGGGUGAGUAACGCGUAGGUAACCUGCCUUGUAGCGGGGGAUAACUAUUGGAAACGAUAGCUAAUACCGCAUAACAAUGGAUGACACAUGUCAUUUAUUUGAAAGGGGCAAUUGCUCCACUACAAGAUGGACCUGCGUUGUAUUAGCUAGUAGGUGAGGUAACGGCUCACCUAGGCGACGAUACAUAGCCGACCUGAGAGGGUGAUCGGCCACACUGGGACUGAGACACGGCCCAGACUCCUACGGGAGGCAGCAGUAGGGAAUCUUCGGCAAUGGGGGCAACCCUGACCGAGCAACGCCGCGUGAGUGAAGAAGGUUUUCGGAUCGUAAAGCUCUGUUGUAAGUCAAGAACGAGUGUGAGAGUGGAAAGUUCACACUGUGACGGUAGCUUACCAGAAAGGGACGGCUAACUACGUGCCAGCAGCCGCGGUAAUACGUAGGUCCCGAGCGUUGUCCGGAUUUAUUGGGCGUAAAGCGAGCGCAGGCGGUUUGAUAAGUCUGAAGUUAAAGGCUGUGGCUCAACCAUAGUUCGCUUUGGAAACUGUCAAACUUGAGUGCAGAAGGGGAGAGUGGAAUUCCAUGUGUAGCGGUGAAAUGCGUAGAUAUAUGGAGGAACACCGGUGGCGAAAGCGGCUCUCUGGUCUGUAACUGACGCUGAGGCUCGAAAGCGUGGGGAGCGAACAGGAUUAGAUACCCUGGUAGUCCACGCCGUAAACGAUGAGUGCUAGGUGUUGGAUCCUUUCCGGGAUUCAGUGCCGCAGCUAACGCAUUAAGCACUCCGCCUGGGGAGUACGACCGCAAGGUUGAAACUCAAAGGAAUUGACGGGGGCCCGCACAAGCGGUGGAGCAUGUGGUUUAAUUCGAAGCAACGCGAAGAACCUUACCAGGUCUUGACAUCCCGAUGCUAUUUCUAGAGAUAGAAAGUUACUUCGGUACAUCGGUGACAGGUGGUGCAUGGUUGUCGUCAGCUCGUGUCGUGAGAUGUUGGGUUAAGUCCCGCAACGAGCGCAACCCCUAUUGUUAGUUGCCAUCAUUCAGUUGGGCACUCUAGCGAGACUGCCGGUAAUAAACCGGAGGAAGGUGGGGAUGACGUCAAAUCAUCAUGCCCCUUAUGACCUGGGCUACACACGUGCUACAAUGGUUGGUACAACGAGUUGCGAGUCGGUGACGGCAAGCUAAUCUCUUAAAGCCAAUCUCAGUUCGGAUUGUAGGCUGCAACUCGCCUACAUGAAGUCGGAAUCGCUAGUAAUCGCGGAUCAGCACGCCGCGGUGAAUACGUUCCCGGGCCUUGUACACACCGCCCGUCACACCACGAGAGUUUGUAACACCCGAAGUCGGUGAGGUAACCUUUNNAGCCAGC
rnacentral:rRNA from 2 species